rnacentral:tRNA from 1 species
AGAAAUUUAGGUUAACAAGACCAAUGGCCUUCAAAGCCCUAAGUAGAGGUUAAACCCCUCUAAUUUCUG